rnacentral:rRNA from 1 species
GCGCGAAAACUUUACAAUGCUGGCAACAGCGAUAAGGGAACCUCGAGUGCCAGGUUACAAAUCUGGCUGUCGAGAUGCCUAAAAAGCAUUUCAUAGCAAGGGCCGGGCAAGACCGGUGCCAGCCGCCGCGGUAACACCGGCGGCUCGAGUGGUAACCGUUAUUAUUGGGUCUAAAGGGUCUGUAGCCGGCCGGAUAAGUCUCUUGAGAAAUCUGGCAGCUUAACUGUCAGGCUUUCAGGAGAUACUGUCUGGCUCGGGGCCGGGAGAGGUGAGAGGUACUUCAGGGGUAGGGGUGAAAUCUUGUAAUCCUUGAAGGACCACCAGUGGCGAAGGCGUCUCACCAGAACGGACCUGACGGCAAGGGACGAAAGCUAGGGGCACGAACC